AGGUAGGUCCCUAAAGGUUGGGGAAGUUAGCCGAUAACUAACUUUUUACUAGUUCGAAUCUAGUCCUACCUU
rnacentral:tRNA from 1 species